rnacentral:rRNA from 1 species
AGAGUUUUUUCCUGGCUCAGAUUGAACGCUGGCGGCAGGCCUAACACAUGCAAGUCGAGCGGAUGAGGGGAGCUUGCUCCUGGAUUUAGCGGCGGACGGGUGAGGAAUACGCAGGAAUCUACCUAGUAGCGGGGGAUAACGUAGGGAAACUUACGCUAAUACCGCAUACGACCUACGGGUGAAAGCAGGGGACCUUCGGGCCUUGCGCUAUUAGAUGGGCCUGCGUCGGAUUAGCUAGUUGGUGGGGUAAAGGCCUACCAAGGCGACGAUCCGUAGCUGGUCUUAGAGGAUGAUCAGCCACACUGGGACUGAGACACGGCCCAGACUCCUACGGGAGGCAGCAGUGGGGAAUAUUGGACAAUGGGCGAAAGCCUGAUCCAGCCAUGCCGCGUGUGUGAAGAAGGCCCUCGGGUUGUAAAGCACUUUAAGCGAGGAGGAAAGGUUGAAGGUUAAUACCCUUUAGCUGUGACGUUACUCGCAGAAUAAGCACCGGCAAACUUCGUGCCAGCAGCCGCGGUAAUACGAAGGGUGCGAGCGUUAAUCGGAAUUACUGGGCGUAAAGCGCACGUAGGUGGUUAGGUAAGCGUACUGUGAAAUCCCCGGGCUCAACCUGGGAACUGCAGGACGAACUGCCUGACUAGAGUAUAGUAGAGGAGUGUGGAAUUCCCGGUGUAGCGGUAAAAUGCGUAGAUAUCGGGAGGAACAUCAGUGGCGAAGGCGGCACUCUGGACUGAUACUGACACUGAGGUGCGAAAGCGUGGGUAGCGAACAGGAUUAGAUACCCUGGUAGUCCACGCCGUAAACGAUG